rnacentral:rRNA from 1 species
GACGAACGCUGGCGGCGUGCCUAAUACAUGCAAGUCGAGCGAAGCGGCGGAUGGGUGAGUAACGCGUGGGUAACAUGCCCUUAAGCCUGGGAUACCCAGUGGAAACAGAUGCUCAUACAGGAUAAUAAAGGAUGGACCUGCGAUGAAUUAGCGAGUUGGUAAGGUAACGGCUUAACAAGGCGAUGAUGCAUAGCCGAGUUGAGAGACUGAUCGGCCACAUUGGGACUGAGACACGGCCCAAACUCCUACGGGAGGCAGCAGUAGGGAAUCUUCCACAAUGGACGAAAGUCUGAUGGAGCAACGCCGCGUGAGUGAAGAAGGUUUUCGGAUCGUAAAGCUCUGUUGUUGGUGAAGCGGUAAUCAACCAGAAAGGCACGGCUAACUACGUGCCAGCAGCCGCGGUAAUAC